ensembl:lncRNA SVIL-AS1 SVIL antisense RNA 1
GCUGAAUAGCUGAGAGGCGCACCCGGGCGGCCAGCUGGGCUCGGAGUGCAGCGGGGUUAGGAUGGACGAGGACGUGUUGCACCCUGAAGAGCCUCAUCAUCGGUGAGAGUGGGGUGGGCAAGUCCAGCCUGCUCUUGAGGUUCACAGAUGAUACCUUUGAUCCAGAACUUGCAGCAACAAUAGACAAUGCAGGAAUCACAUGAACCUGUCCAUCCACAGAUAAAGUGGUAAAGAAACUGCCGUAUUAGAUACAUGAUGGUAUACUCUUCAGCCAUAAAGCUUCGGGAAACCCUGUCAUCCGCAACCACGUGGAGAAACCUGUCCAUCCACAGAUGAAGGGAUCAGGAAGCUCUGGUUAAUGACUGAAGGGCUCUGGAAAGGGGAUAAGAGGCCGGCUUCCUUCCCCAGAUCGCACUCCAACACCCAGAGGACUGCUAUUUCUCAGGUGGCAGCUAUGAGGAAAGAAAGAAAAUGGUGCCCUGAGUCCCUAAGACCCUGGAAGGUGGCUUGGUCCCCGGGAGGCCUUGGGAGCUGAUUUGCCAGUGAGAAUUUGAAGUCCUGGUGUCCAAGUUAAACUCACCCCUGGGAAGAAAAAAACUGUUCAAUCAGCUGGACAUAAUACUCAUCACACUAGAUUUAAGACACACUGAAGAAUUAAGAUAAAACAUGAAUGGGGCACAGUGGCUCAAGCCUGCACUUUGAGAGGCUGAGGCAGGCUGAUCACUUGAGCCCAGGAGGUUGAAGCUGCAGUGAGCUGUGAUCAUACCACUAUACUCCAGCCUGGAUAACAGAGCAAGACUCUUGUUUCCAAAAACAAACAAAAAAACCAGAUCGCAGACUGUGGAUGCCACAUUACCUUGAAGCAUGCAAUCGUAGGCUUUCCUGUCUCUCCUUCCUAAGGCAUCCCAGAAUCCGAGUGGCUCGGAGCCUUCAUCACACUCGUGUAUUGUGACUUUGCUGCUACUAUGCAGUCCUGCUUCCAGGGGACAUCUGCAAGGGAGAAACUCCAAGAGUUCUUUAUAAGUCUGGAGAGUGCUGGUGACCCAAAAUUAUUAUUACUAUUAUGAUAACAGCUUUAUAAUAGCUUUAUUGAGAUAUAAUUCACAUGUCAUAAAAUUCACUCUUUUUAUGUGUACAGAUUUCAGUUUAUUCACAGAGUUGUGCAACUGUCAUCACUAAUUUCAGAACAUUUUCAUCUCCCGGAAGAAGAAGCCCUGUACCCGUUAGCAGUCACUCCGCAUUUCCCCCAUCCUUAGUCCUCAGAAUCCACUAAUCUACUCCUGUAUUUAUGGACUUGCCUGUUUUGGACAUUUCAUACAGAUGGAAUUAUAUAAUAUAUGUUCCUUUGUGACUGAGUUUUUAAACUUAGUGUAAUGUUUUUAAGGUGCAUCCAUGUUGUAGCAUGUAUCAAUACUGAAUUCUUUUUUAUGGCAGAAUAAUAUUCCACUAAUUUUUUUCAUCCAUUAAUAUGUUGGUAGAUAUUUGGGUUAUUUCCAUCUUUUGGCCACUAUGACUAAUAUGGCUAUGAACCUUCAUGUACAAGUGUUUUCAUUUCUCUUGGGUAGAUAUCUAGUAGAGUUGCUAGUCAUAUGGUAACUGUAUUGUUAAAUCUUUUGAGAAAUUGCUAGACUGUUUUCCAAGUAAUGUGUAAGGGUUCCAAUUUUCACAUCCUUGCCAAUACUUGUUAUUGUCUGCUUUUUUUAAAUUUAAAAUUUGUGGGUAUAUACUAAUAGUAGGUGUAUAUAUAUAUACAUAUAUAUAUACAUGUACAUAUAUAUAUGGGGUACAGCCAUAAAUUAUUCAAAACUAAAUCUGGAGAUCAGUUCACCGUCUCUUCUACUUUCUAAGGAAAAGCAAUUCUUACUCAUGAAUGGAAAAAUGCUCUGCAGUCUCUAAGUGUGUGUGGUGGAGGAGGGGAAGUUGACUUGCUCCUAGGGAGGGAUGUUUAAUCACAUCUAAUGUGUCAUGAAAAUUACACACAUUUUUAUACAGAACAAUACAUAUUGACUAUUUCUUGUCUUUCUCUCCUGCUAGAACAUGAACUUCAUGAGGACAGAGACUUGGGCUUAUUCACCACCAAGUCCCCAGUUCCUAACUCCAGUCCUUUGGAGUUAGAAGCAGGUUGCCCAAAGUUCAUGAUGCAGAAAAACCAUUUUUUCCGAGAUUUAUAGGAUAAGUCCUGUAAUUCCAGAUUGCUUGGCGCCAAUCAGGUACUCAAUAAAUGUUUGUUGAGUGAAUAUGUGAA